rnacentral:rRNA from 1 species
UGACGACCGGCGCACGGGUGCGUAACGCGUAUAGAAUCUACCUUGUAGUAAGGGAUAGCCCAGAGAAAUUUGGAUUAAUACCUUAUAGUAUCUUAAGUGAGCAUUCACUAAGGAUUAAAGAUUUAUCGCUACAAGAUGACUAUGCGUUCUAUUAGCUAGUUGGUAUGGUAACGGCAUACCAAGGCUACGAUAGAUAGGGGUCCUGAGAGGGAGAUCCCCCACACUGGUACUGAGACACGGACCAGACUCCUACGGGAGGCAGCAGUGAGGAAUAUUGGACAAUGGAGGCAACUCUGAUCCAGCCAUGCCGCGUGUAGGAAGACUGCCCUAUGGGUUGUAAACUACUUUUAUAGAGGAAGAAACAAUAUUACGUGUAAUAUUCUGACGGUACUCUACGAAUAAGGAUCGGCUAACUCCGUGCCAGCAGCCGCGGUAAUACGGAGGAUCCAAGCGUUAUCCGGAAUCAUUGGGUUUAAAGGGUCCGUAGGCGGGUUUGUAAGUCAGUGGUGAAAGUUUUCGGCUUAACCGGAAAAUUGCCAUUGAUACUGCAAGUCUUGAAUUAUUGUGAAGUGGUUAGAAUGUGUAGUGUAGCGGUGAAAUGCAUAGAUAUUACACAGAAUACCGAUUGCGAAGGCAGAUCACUAACAAUUAAUUGACGCUAAGGGACGAAAGCGUGGGUAGCGAACAGGAUUAGAUACCCUGGUAGUCCACGCCGUAAACGAUGGUUACUAGCUGUUCGGACUUCGGUCUGAGUGGCUAAGCGAAAGUGAUAAGUAACCCACCUGGGGAGUACGUUCGCAAGAAUGAAACUCAAAGGAAUUGACGGGGGCCCGCACAAGCGGUGGAGCAUGUGGUUUAAUUCGAUGAUACGCGAGGAACCUUACC